rnacentral:misc_RNA from 1 species
AGUAAGUUAACUCUUGCUGUUUCCAAACAGGCAUUUUUACAAGAUGUUCCAAAUCCAUACGAGUUACCUGAUGGGACACCGUCUUUUAAAGACUUCAUGGGCAGCAGAAACAAUCGAUACGCAAAUCCAGAACAAGCCAGCAAAAACAGAAUCAUGGCCCCCACCAAGGUUCUUCAUUAUUUCAAUGUUCCUCCUGAGUUGUCGGAGAAGGUUUUGGAAGAGGUUUUUACAAAUAUGGGAGCAGAGUGUCCCGAGAAAAUAAAACAGUUUCCUGCCACUAGUGCCAGAAGUUCCUCUGGUUUGGUUCAGUUCAAAGACACUGAAGAAGCAGUCAAUGCCCUGGCAUUAGCAAACCACGCAUCAAUUCCUAAUCCGUCUGGCAAAAGUCCUUAUGUGAUGAAGCUGUGCUUCUCAGGCAGUCCAAUUGGUGGUCGGUAGAAAGGAAUUCAUUAGGUUUCAAAACAAAAUCCUUGUGUAGCUGAACACUCUUUGACCAAAUGGUAGCUUUUAAUUGAAGAUGCUCAUUGUGCAUUAUCCAUCAACUGCAUCAAACGUGUACAAAACAUCCAUUAUACAUGUUAUAAUCAAAUGCCGAGUCUUUGAACAUUGAACAUUAUCAUAGACAUUCAAAAUAUUUUCAGAUUUCAUGGACUAUGUCAUGAAUGGGCAUUUUUUAGUUUAUUAGCCAAACAAUUUAUAAUUAAUUGUUAAGCUAUUUACAGUUUGUUGUCUUGCACCUAAACACUUUCACGCUGUUUGUAUCCCAAAAAAGGUGAAAUUUACAUGGAGCUUUUUGUAACAAAAUUUGAGUUGUAUUUUAUACAAAACUAUUUUUUAAUGCAUUGUUUCAUGAAGUAUUAUAAAAUAAAAUUCAUAAAAAUAUGU